AAACACUCAAUUCUUAGAUUUCCGUGUCCAACGUUUGACCGUCCGUUUUAUAUGAAAUUUUUUUUAUGAUUAGUAUUUUCAUUGUUGAUAGAUGAUAAAACAUGAAUAAUACUUUAUGUAUGGCUUAUCUUUUAAAAUUUUUUCUUAUUUUUUUCAAAUAAGACGGACGGUCAAACGUUAGACACGGAAACCCAGGAAUUGAGUUUUU
rfam:Oryza meridionalis cultivar OR44 (W2112) chromosome 6, whole genome shotgun sequence.